rnacentral:tRNA from 1 species
UGAUAGCUCAGUUGGUAGAGCACCUGAUUAGAGAAUCAGGGGGCCCAGGUUCAAUUCAUGGUCA